CGCGGUGGAGGCGGGGCGGGCACCGGCCAGGAGAAAGAGGCGGGGCUGAGGGGCCGAAGCGCGCCCAGCUAUCCCCCGAAAGGAGGGAGCAGCAGUGGGAGGUUCCCGCACAAUGGCGGGGAAUGGCCCGCAGUGGGUCUGGAAGAACUGUACCGACCAACGCUGGGAAGAGCUGGCGGGGAGGGGCAGGACUAGAGAGAAAUUGGGAGCGAGCCUGGUACUUAGAGAGAAAGGGGGAGGGUCCGACACCAAGGUUCAGAAGGCUGUGCAAAGGAGACUGAGCAGGGGUGCAAAAGCUGGCGCGGCCCUUCGGGGCCUGAAAACAGCAGCAAGGCAAUCAACUCAAAGAGCGGACAACAGAACCGCGGCGGCAGGAAGCUCUGAGUACGGGUGAAGAAUGGAAAAGACACAAAUCCACAGGAGCGCGGGAAGAGCUCAGGCCUUCUAUUUCAGCCUCUGCUAGGAGGAGUCUAAGUAAAUCCAAGAUCACAUCGCGCACCAAAGCGGACUCCCGGCCGAAAUCGGGACUCGAAGAGCCCGCUGCGCCUUUUGGUUCUUCCAGCCCUGGAGGCUCCCGCGCGUUUGCAGUGUAGGAGGGAUGAAUGGCAGCGUCGUGGGGGGCGCCUGGGCUGCGGGUGACGCGGGGAAGCAAGGAGCGCCUGAGGACGUGGCGCUUGCCAGUAUGGGUCGCGAGGGAGGGAGGGAGGGAGGGACUGAGGGCGCCCCUAGCCCUGGUUGCCGGGACCACGGGAGAGUUCUAGCGGCUUGGACCGGAACAAGCUCUUUCCCACUUACCUCUGGCAACCCCCACCCCCGCCCUAGCUGGCCGUCAGCGGCAACGUCACCUGCUUGCUAGCGCGCAAAGGCUCUGGCGCAAUCACAGGCCUUGGAGGGGAGGGGGUGUCUCACAUUCGGCGAAAGUGACGACAGCGCUGAUGAAGAUAAUAAUCACUUUGUAAGUUCACUCCACACCCCAGGCGGAGGCCCUUUCUACUCAUUCCAGUCAAAUUACAAAGAGACUGUAUGUUGUCUCAGUAGGUAAUGAGUAACCCCUCACCAAAUGUGCUAAAGAAGGGGCCAUGAGAGUUCUUGUUCAGGCAAAGAUAACAGCUUUGUGUGGGGAAUUUAAACAAUUCAUUUCUCCCUACAGAAUGAGGGAAAACGGGGAUUAACAAUGUAAGCCCGAAUUCAUUUGUUUAAAUUAUAUUCUUGUCCUUCCUAUGUAUGCUGGACCAUGCUUAAAGCAAAAGCCUUAAGGGAAUACUGUAAAGAUAUUGCAAUACUGUGUAUAAAUAAGAUUCAGCUAUAUUAUAAAAAUGUGGAGGAGUUCUUUAAACUUUGAUCCUAUACUUAAAAUUCUGAUGUUUGCAUCCUUGCUCAUGAGAAGAAAAUAUAUUUUCAGUUAAAAUGAAAUAAAAUUUGGAAAUGUGUAAUGGCA